rnacentral:lncRNA from 1 species
GGCUCAGGUCAUGAUCUCACAGUUCAUGGGUUCGAGCCCCACGUCGGGCUCUGACAGCUCAGAGCCUGGAGCUGCUUCAGAUUCUGCGUCUCCCUCUCUCUGACCCUCCCCUGCUCGCAUUCUCUCUCUCUCUCUCUCUCUCUCUCUCAAAAAUAAAUUAAAAAACAUUAAAAAUAUGAAAUUUUUUUAAAAAGUAAUUAUAUACACAUUAAAAGUGAUAGAGUAUAGAACUGUCCUGGUAACUUAAAUUAAGAAACAUUUUCAGUGGCGUAAAACUUAUAUAUCCAUGUGUGGAUGACGUCUUUUUAAUCACACUAAGAAAACACACAGAAUGCUAUAAAGAAUACAACUAUCUCCCAUAUAUAUAUAUGUAUACCUAUCUUAACUUUCUAGUAUUUGAAUAAAACUUUGAGGGAAGAAAGUGAACAGCUAAUGUUUCUGAGUCUACUUCACUGAAAAAUUUUUCAAUAAUCAUUGAUGCCAUGUUAGGGUUUAGAAUUUUAAGGCACUAAAACAUGUUAAUUUACUGGUUCUUGUUUUCUUCUUCUGAAAAUACAAAGAAGAGAGUGGGUCUGAGACAGGAGCGCGGAGGAAAACAGAAUAAAAGGGAAACUUGCAGGACAACGGCCUGAAUUAUUUAGAAACACGAGCGCCACAAGUCAGUAGCUCCAAAGUACGCAAGAGUGAGACGCUUCAUUUUCCGACGGAAACUAUAAGAAGAGGAAAGGAGUUUGCAGUUUAAAUGCGAAGGCUUCGGCACCUUGGGGUAAAUCCACCUGACUUCCUUAUGAAUGAUAACGUGGAAAACACUGACGCGAUGGAGGAGCCCCGGCGAGAGGGCAAAGGGCCAAGUAAAAGAAGUUACCACCAGCAGUAAGGCGGCGAGCCGGUACCCGUGCCGGAGGCACGCGAAGGACACGUGAUCCCCGCUGUGCGCCGGUUCCCCCAGAAGGGAAUCAGAAUAAGUCUAAUUACUAGGAAACGGCGGAGUUAUGCAAAUUACAAGCCACACGGAGCUCCCACGUCCCGUAAAGUAAUCGUGUCUUUUAAACGGACCAUCUUUCGCAUUCUAAACAGGUCUACGCAGAGCCCUGAAAGCAUCAGACGGGACCUAACGGCGAACCGUCCCGCUGCCCGCGCCCCCAGGACUCGGCCCCACCCGCCACGGAAAACUCUGGGAUCCCCUGUGGGCCAGUCGCAGAGGGGACGCCUCCGAUCCGCGCGGGACAGGAGUUGCGAGGGACAAGUGUUCCCGUCCCUGCGGGAAGCCGGGCUGAGGGAGGGGAAAGCGGGCGCCGGAGCCGACGAGAGUCUACAACGCGAAAUGUCAUUGUUUCCCCCCAGACCCAGGGACAGGAUCUGAGGGGGGAAGACUUGGGGAGGUGACCAGGCAGAGCCCAGGAGUCAAGCCUACGGCUGUUGUCCAGAUUUCAAUCCAUGCUUUCUCCGUGGAUCAGAGUGCCUGGAGAUUUGCACAUUCUCCCUCUCCCUACGGAGGAGGGAGGCACCCUUCCAAACAGCUUUCCUUUGUAAAUGCAGAUGUCUCUUACAAAAGGAAACGAGAACUCCUGAUUUCAGACUUUUUCCUUUGUCUGCUGUUUCUUUAAAAUAACUAGCCUAAAAUAAUCCUUAAGCCGUCGAGGCGCAUUUGUCCGGUAACUAAAUGCUCCCCUUCAGUAGGAAAUGUUUAUUUUCAUAAGUAACUGCCAAACAGCUUUCCAAAGUGAAUGUGUUCUUACGCUCCUAUUAGCAGUUUAUGAGAAUUCUAAUUCCUCAACGUUUUCACUGGAAUUUGGUGUUGUCAUUUAUUUUUCUUCAUGCUAGCCAUUCUAGAAAAUACUAAGUGGUUUCCCACUGUAAAAUAUGAAGUGGUCUCACUACAGUUGUCCUGCUGAUUGGGAUGCAUGUGUAGGAGAGGAAAACUUUUUUCUUCCUUCUAGAGUCUUUGGCCGUCUAAUAAUUAAACUGACAUAAGACAGAUUAGGGGCGCCUGAGUGGCUCAGUGAGUUAAGCCUCUGACUCUUGAUCUCAGCUCAGGUCUUGACCUCAGGGUCAUGAGUUCAAGCUCCAUGUUGGGCCUCAUGCUGAGUGUGGAGCCUACUUUAAAAAAAAAUAAGAAAGAUCAAUCACAGGAAAAAAGAAAUUUAAUUUCUUCAUUACAGGAACCCCAAAGAUAUGAGGCUCAAAAACAAGCAAAUGAUGCCUAUAGGCCAUUCUGACUGAGAAAAGGGAGGAAGGGUUAGGGAUUUAGAAUUUCAAAAAGGAGGAAAUAAGUUCCGCAGAAAAAAGGAAAGAGCGAGAAUGUGGGCAAAGGUUUUCCAUACAGACAGGUCAAUCUUUCUGAUAAAAAAAAAUGAUCUCUGGGGUUAGCUCUCUUCCUGAUUGGGGCCGCCUUCUAAUUUCUUCCUAGCAGUUACGUUAGAGGCGAAGUAGCAUUAUCUGAGUCUGCUGGGUCCUAAGUCCCUUCAGCUCAAAACAAUCCACAUGCAAAGUGAUUUUUUUAAUGAAAUUUUUUUUAAGUUUAUUUCUUUAUCUUGAGAGAGAGUGAGUGGUGGAGGGGCAGAGAGAGAGAGAGAGAGAGAGAAGUCCAAGCUGGCUCUGCCCUGUCAGCGCCGAGUCCAAUGUGGGGCUUGAACUCACAAACUGUGAGAUCACGACCUUAGCCAAAACCCAGAGUAGGAUGCCCAACAGACUGAGCCACCCAAGUGCCCCACAAAAUGAUUUAUUUGACGUCACAUAUUCUCUCCUCCAAUGAAUAAAGGUAUUUUGUGUGCAUAUAUUUAUAUAUACUUCGGAAUAUACUUCUCAAGUAUGUGUGUGUGUGUGUGUGUGUGUGUGUGUGUGUGUGUGUAUUCAGCCUCAAAAGUGAAGAAAAUAUUUACAUUUGCAGCAACAGGAUGUAUCCAGAAGACACUCUGCUAAGUUACAUAAGCCAGACACAGGAAUAAAACAAAACAAUUCUGUGUGUAAUCACAUAGAUGUGGAACCCAUAAAAAGUUAAAAUCACAAAUGUGAAGAUUAGCAUGUUUCUUGUCAGGGGCUGAGGGUGGAGUGAAUAUUGAGCUGCUGGUCAGAUGGUACUCACUUAGGCAGGAUAAGUAAUCCCUGGAGGUCAGCUAGCCAGCCCCCCCUUUCUCAACUGCAGACCCCAACACUCAAAACCAAAAUUAGGGGUGCCUGGGUGACUCAGUCGGUUAAGUGUCCGACUUGGGCUCAGGUCAUCACCUCACACCUUGUGAUUUUGAGCCCCGUGUGGGGCUUUAUGCUCAGAGCCUAGAGCCUGCUUCAGAUUCUGUGUCUCUGUCUCUGCCGCUCCCCUGCUCAUUCUCUGUCUCUCUGUCUCAAAACUAAAUUUUAAAAAACAUUAAAAAAAUUUUAAUAAAACCAUAAAUAGACAUGACCACUUCACACAUGCUCUAACUGAAGCCCAUUGUUCGUACUGCACUGUCUUUAGGCAUCAAUGAAGAUGUUUUGAAAGACCAGAGCAUUCCAACGACCCGGCAGAUAAUCCCUGAUGGCAACAGAAUGUCUGCAAGACUUCCUCUCCUUUGCUGCCCUAAGCACAUAGCAGCCCGCACACAUGACCACAUGCUCCCUGCCUGCUCUCAUGCAAGUGCCCUCCUGAACCUCUCCCUAUAACGUUUAUUUAUUUUUUUGAGAGAGAGAGAGACAGAGCGAGAGCAGGGGAGGGGCAGAGAGAAAGGGAGGCACAGAAUCUGAAGAAGCAGGCUUCAGGCUCUGCUCUGCGCUGUCAGCACAGAGCCCGACUUGGGGCUUGAACUCACGACGGACCACGAGACCAUGACCUGAGCCGAAGUCAGACACUUAACCGACUGAGCCACCCAGGCGCCCCCGACCUCUCCCUAUAAAACACUAGAUGUCCAUCCUGUUAUCAGAGAGGCGAGUUGUUAAGGCUUGUGUCUGCCUCCUCUCUCCCAACAUGAAUUUCUCCCCUUUUCCUUUUCCAAUCCCUGUCUCUUGAGUUACUGACUUCUCUUGUGAGGAGGUGAUUGGAGUUAUUUCAGCAACACUGUUGGCAAACCCAGCCAGGAGCUACCCUUCCAUUUGUCCAGCCCUGGAGGGAUUCCCUGGGUCAGAGUACUUGGCCAUGGCGGUGCACCAGGGCUUACCUGUCCGUUUCCUGGGUUGGGAGCGAUGCUAAAUAGGUCAGUUACAGGUCUAAUACACAUCACCGUGGCUGUAAUUAAUAGUAGUGUCCUGUACACUUGAAAUUCACUAGGAGAGAACAUCUUAAGUGUUCUCCCCACACGUACACACAAAUCUUAGCUAUAUGAGGUGGGGGAUAUGUUCAUUAGCCUGACUGAGGUAAUCAUUUCACAAUAUAUGUUUGUAUUUACGUUUUAAAACUUGAGCAAUGGGGCGCCUGGGUGGCUCAGUUGGUUAAGCAAUCAACCUUGGCUCAGGUCAUGAUCUUGCAGUUAAUGAGUUCAAGUCCCGCAUCAGGCGUCCUGCUGACAGCACAGUGCCUGCUUUGAUCCUCUGUCCCCCUGUCUCUCUGCCCCUCCUCUGCUCAUGCUUUCUCUCUCAAAAAUAAAUAUUUUAUUAUUUUUAAAAUUCUUAAUGUUUAUUUAUUUUUGAGACAGAGAGAUAGAUGAAGCAUGAGCAGGGGAAAGGCAGAAAGAGAGGGAGACACAGAAUCCAAAACAGGCUCCAGGCUCUGAGCUGUCAGCACAGAGCCCGACGCAGGGCUUGAACCCACGAACCGUGAGAUCAUGACCUGAGCUGAAGUCAAAUGCUCAACCGACUGAGCCACCCAGGAGCUCAAAAAUAAAUAACUAUUUUUAAAAAUAAUUUAAGAAAUAAAACUUGAGCAACUACAGGAUGCUGAAUGGGUAGGCUCUCAAAGCACAGAACCUAGUAAGACAGAAAAUUAGGCACCAAA